UACGAACUGUGCAACCGUUAUUCGGAAUCACUGGGCUUACAGGGUGCGUAGGCGGCCUGACAAGUAGGGUGUGAAAGCCCCCGGCUCAACCGGGGAAUGGCGCCCUAAACUGUCGGGCUGGAGUGAGAUAGGGGUGUGCGGAACUUCCGGUGGAGCGGUGAAAUGUGUUGAUAUCGGAAGGAACGCCGGUGGCGAAAGCGGCACACUGGAUCUCAACUGACGCUGAGGCACGAAAGCCAGGGGAGCGAACGGG
rnacentral:rRNA from 1 species